rnacentral:rRNA from 1 species
UACCUCCCGUGUGUCGUCGUCGCGACGUCUACGAGAGUAGUUGUACUCGUGCUAGGAUGAACGCUAGCGGCAGGCCUAAUACAUGCAAGUCGGACGGGAGUCCCCUUCGGGGGGACGAGAGUGGCGGACGGGUGCGCAACGCGUAUGCAACCCACCCCGACCCGGGGCAUAGCCGGUGGAAACGCCGGGUAAUGCGCCAUGAGCCGCGCAGGGGACAUCCCCCGCGCGGCAAAGCGAGAGCGGGACGGGACGGGCAUGCGUCCCAUUAGCUAGUAGGCGGUGCAACGGACCACCUAGGCUACGAUGGUAGGGGAUCUGAGAGGACGGUCCCCCACACUGGUACUGAGACACGGACCAGACUCCUGCGGGAGGCAGCAGUAAGGGAUAUUGGUCAAUGGGCGGAAGCCUGAACCAGCCAUGCCGCGUGAGGUAGGAAGGCCCUACGGGUCGUAAGCCUCUUUUAUGCGGGGACAAUGACGCGGUCGCGAACCGUGUUUGAGGGUACCGCAGGAAUAAGCGUCGGCUAACUCCGUGCCAGCCGCGGC